CUUCGGGUUGUAAGCACUUUCAGUAGGGAGGAAGGUGUGUAGUUAACACCUGCAUUAUUUGACGUUCCUACAGAAGAAGCACCGGCUAACUCCGUGCCAGCAGCCGCGGUAAUACGAGGGUGCGAGCGUUAAUCGGAAUUACUGGGCGUAAAGCGCAUGCAGGCGGCCUGUUAAGUCAAUGUGAAAGCCCGGGGCUUAACCUCGAAUUGCAUUUGAAACUGGCAGGCUAGAGUCUUGUAGAGGGGGGUAGAAUUUCAGGUGUAGCGGUGAAAUGCGUAGAGAUCUGAAGGAAUACCAGUGGCGAAGGCGGCCCCCUGGACAAAGACUGACGCUCAAUGCGAAAGCGUGGGGAGCAAACAGGAUUAGAUACCCUGGUAGUCCACGCCGUAAACGAUGUCUACUUGGAGGUUGUGGCCUUGAGCCGUGGCUUUCGGAGCUAACGCGUUAAGUAGACCGCCUGGGGAGUACGGUCGCAAGAUUAAAACUCAAAUGAAUUGACGGGGGCCCGCACAAGCGGUGGAGCAUGUGGUUUAAUUCAUGCAACGCGAAGAACCUUACCUACUCUUGACAUCCAGAGAAGCUUGAAGAGAUUCGAGUGUGCCUUCGGGAACUCUGAGACAGGUGCUGCAUGGCUGUCGUCAGCUCGUGUUGUGAAAUGUUGGGUAAGUCCCGCAACGAGCCAAC
rnacentral:rRNA from 1 species